rnacentral:lncRNA from 1 species
CCGACAAUUACAGAAUACAAUACGACUUAGACCAGACAAAGCCGUUUGCAAUGCGAUAGAGCGGACCGUGAUAGGAUAACGUUCAGAUAGUACCUGCUCAUACCGAUUAUGCCGACAGUUUUCGAACGGAUAACUUCCGCCAGCGUCGGUUUACUGUCUGGUCACUGUCUGAUCUCUGUCGGAUUACAUUCGGUAGAAUCGGGACGCAGUCGUAACAGACUCGGUCGAAUUUUACCU